GUGCUCUGGUUUCUCUUCAGAUCAAAUAAAUCUUGUGCCUUUUACUAAAGAUUUCCAUGGAGAGGAAUGGUCACGAGUCUUAUUAUUUUUUGAGGCCUUGGUAUUCUUUUCUUUUC
rfam:Otolemur garnettii contig170557, whole genome shotgun sequence.